UACGUAGGGUGCAAGCGUUUGUCCGGAAUUAUUGGGCGUAAAGAGCUCGUAGGCGGUUUGUCGCGUCUGCUGUGAAAACUCGGGGCUUAACCCCGGGCCUGCAGUGGGUACGGGCAGACUAGAGUGCGGUAGGGGAGACUGGAAUUCCUGGUGUAGCGGUGAAAUGCGCAGAUAUCAGGAGGAACACCGGUGGCGAAGGCGGUUCUCUGGGCAUGACCUGACGCUGAGGAGCGAAAGUGUGGGGAGCGAACAGG
rnacentral:rRNA from 1 species